rnacentral:rRNA from 1 species
AUUGAACGCUGGCGGCAGGCUUAACACAUGCAAGUCGAGCGGAGACUUCGGUCUUAGCGGCGAACGGGUGAGGAAUGCCUGGGAAUCUGCCUGGUAGUGGGGGAUAACGUUCCGAAAGGAACGCUAAUACCGCAUACGUCCUACGGGAGAAAGCAGGGGACCUUCGGGCCCUUGGCGCUAUCAGAUGAGCCCAGGUCGGAUUAGCUAGUAGGUGAGGUAAAGGCUCACCUAGGCGACGAUCCGUAGCUGGUCUGAGAGGAUGAUCAGCCACACUGGAACUGAGACACGGUCCAGACUCCUACGGGAGGCAGCAGUGGGAAUAUUGGACAAUGGGCGAAAGCCU